AGUGAACGCUGGCGGUAGGCCUAACACAUGCAAGUCGAACGGAAGCACAGUAAGAGCUUGCUCUUACGGGUGGCGAGUGGCGGACGGGUGAGGAAUACAUCGGAAUCUACUUUUUCGUGGGGGAUAACGUAGGGAAACUUACGCUACUACCGCAUACGACCUACGGGUGAAAGCAGGGGUUCUUCGCACCUUGCGCGAUUGAAUGAGCCGAUGUCGGAUUAGCUAGUUGGCGGGGUAAAGGCCCACCAAGGCGACGAUACGUAGCUGGUCUGAGAGGAUGAUCAGCCACACUGGAACUGAGACACGGUCCAGACUCCUACGGGAGGCAGCAGUGGGGAAUAUUGGACAAUGGGCGCAAGCCUGAUCCAGCCAUACCGCGUGGGUGAAGAAGGCCUUCGGGUUGUAAAGCCCUUUUGUUGGGAAAGAAAAGCAGCAGGUUAAUACCCCGCUGUUCUGACGGUACCCAAAGAAUAAGCACCGGCUAACUUCGUG
rnacentral:rRNA from 1 species